CUCCCAUCCCACCACCCAUCAGAAGAAGAACAGGGCUCCGAUCAGCAACUGCUGCCGGAACCAUCACAUCAGUGCAGUGGGAUUCAUCAUGGGUUCCAAUGCGAAUGGCCUUCAUCUCCUCCACCAAUGUCGAUAUGACUCUUGUGACCUUCAGGUACAGUUACAAGAGACACAGUGUUUUGUGAAUCAUAUGAAGGCCGCCUUGUCCUGAUAAUAGAGCUAUAUGGAUUGGAGCAUGGUCCGGUAAAAAGUCUUGCAUGUGGUAUUCUCUCUCCUGCUUCUUCUAUUAUUAUUGUUUGUGUGCUAUGUUGCUGUAAGUCACUGCACAAAAGCUAACAUGAGGUAUAGCUCCUGUGUCUCGUCAAGCAACACAACAGGGAUUGUCAGCCUUCAACUGGUUGACAACCAUGGCCUCCCACCAGCAACUGCGAGUUAGCAGCACAUUUGCUCCUUGACAUAUUAAUAUAUGAAUCAUUCUUCUAUGAGCGCAGGUACAGGUACCAAAGAACCAUUGAGCUUCCGCAUCUCAUGUGGCUCCACCACAAGCCCAACCUCACCGCAACAUGGGAUGAGAAGAGUUUUUAAUACAAUCCGGAAAAUUAUCCUCAUGUUCAGCUGGGGAGUGGUGUGAUUCCAGUGGAAAGCAAAAUAACCAAGAAUGCAUUUGUCCAGCUCCUCGACUAGCUUCACAUACAGCGAUUCAUGGUUAGGACACUCAUUUACGUCCUCGAUCCCCAUCUGCCUAGCUGCAAUUACACCAUCAGAACAUGUCAUCCCUUGGAAGAGACAACAAACGAUGCAGUAAACAAAAUGCAAAAUGUGGAGGAGGACCAGGUGAAAAGCUUUUCAAACAGUUACCAACAUAAUGGGGGAAGCUUUCCAGCUGCUCCACCCGCCCGGACUCGGCCAGCACAAGCACCGGCUGCGGAUCCCUCAUCUGCGGCUGCCUCCUCCGUCGCCAGUAGCGCUGCGCUGCAGAGAUGGUACUGGCAGUUGGGAUGGCAAUGAGCUAGAGGACAGGUUUGGAGCUCCCAUCUGAUAGGUGGAGCCGGAGGUGAUUUAGUUAGAGAAGUUUCAACGAGAAAGGAAGCAUCAGGGAGAGGUCAAGAGGAAAGGAGAUCCACAAGACUGGUCAAGCUAAUGAGAGGAUGCAUGCCUUUGGGAAUGGUGGCCUGAGGAUCACAUGGAGCUUGAGAUCCGAAGCUGUAGGAGACGGUGUUGAAUGUGUAACAGAAAAAAACGGGUGGUGGGAGCAGGCAAAAUGAGAAUAGCUUUUGAGGUCAGCGCUGCAUCAUAAGAUGAAAAAAAAAAAAGAGGAAAGGAUAAAGGUUGUUUAUUAGACUGCUACCCCAUAAUCAGAUCAUUGGAGAGAGCUUGAGACGGUCAAUCCUUUUACCCCACCACCUCCUGACAUCUGGUAUGAAUCUAUGGGUGUUAAUGUAUUGAUGUCGCCUAAAUGUAAACUGACUCUGUACAGGUCAAGCCUUGAUUGGUGCAUAGAUUGGCUGAAAUGCCAACUUAUGGUGUUGUGAGCAGCAGCCGCGUCACAAUCUUCCAGAAUGAGUUGUGGAUUUGGGUUGUGAGGACACCCUUGAAACUGUCGUCAUGCUAUGGUAAGUGUGACUCUCAAGUUAUCACCAUGACUUUCUCUUUGUUGGUCUCACGAAUAAAUGAUUGUCCAGCGGGACAAAGUUAUAAAUUUGUAACGUAACAUAUGAAUGUUCUCUCACACGUUUAGAUCAUCCACAUGUACUCGAGAUUCUGAUUAGAGUUUUAAGUGUUUUAUUAAGAUAGAUUUUGGUUAGACGUGAAUUUUAAU